AUUUUCAAAGAUCACUGCUUCCAAGCUCAAGAAGAGUCCAUUUCUGUGAGCAGGAAAUCAAGCAAAGGCAGCAGGAGACCUGCAUGGGUGAAAGAGGAGCUCCUGACUAAACUCAAUCAUAAAGGAAACGCAUGCGGGAUAUGGAAGCAGAGUCAGUUGACCCAGGAGGAAAAUAGAGACACUGUCCAAGCUUGCAGGGCUGGAGUUAGGAAAGCCAAAGCCCACAAGAUUUGAAUCUGAUGAGUGGCAUGAGUGCUACCAGAAGGGUUUUCACAAAUACAUCAGCACAGACGGAAAGCAAGAGAAAACAUGGGCCCACUGCUGAACACAGCCAGGGCACUGGUGACAAAGUACAUGGAAAAGGCUGCUGCCCUCAGUAACCUUCUUUGCUUCAGUCUUCACUGGUAAGACCAUCCUUUGGGAAUCCCAAGUGCCUGAGACCCCUGGGAAAGUCCGAAGCAAGGUAGACUCAACCUUUGUGGAAGAGGACCAGGUUACGGAGCAUUUAAACAAAUUGGAUGUGCAGAAGUCCAUGGGACCUGACAUGGGACCAUGAGUGCCAAGGGACCAGCUGGUGUCACUGCAAGGUCACUGUCUAUAAUCUUUGAAAGAUUAUGGUGAUCAGGAGAGGUUCCUGAGGACUGGAAGAGAGUAAAUGUCACUUCUUUCUUCAAGAAGGAGGAUUCACAGGACCACAGGCUAGUUAGCCUCAUCACGAUCCAUGGGAAGAUAAAUGGAGAAGAAGUCCAGGAUGCCAGUGAGAUCACAAUAAAAAAAAUCUGGUAGCAUAAGGAUGAGCUGAGACCAACUCUCAUUUGCACUCCAGUGUUCAUCUGGAGACAGCACAAAUGAGACUCAGGAACAGAGCCCAAGUAUGCCUCUCUCACCAUUUUCUGGGAAACUUCCCUGGCAUCAGUCUCUUUAUAAGCAGAAACAGGAAUUUUCUGUCUCAGAAUGCCGAGGGCUGAGGAUAAGCAGUUAAUCAAAAAGUCAUGCGGAAGCCAGUAAAAAAUAAGGCUCCAGGUGUUGACUUGAUCUCCUGGACUAUCUUUCAGAGGAUGACUCUUCAUCUAAGCUUCAAAGACUGUGAACUACAUCAUUACCAGCCAGGACAAGAGGAAGCUUUCUGCCACACUGCACGUCCAGUAGAAGGUAUCCUUUUGAUAUCAUUUUAUCACUAAAGUUGCCCAAUAUGCUGGAAUCUAUUUAGACUCUUUAAUGGAGCUGUUUGCCUUUUUUAAUGCCUUUCCCCCAUCUGCUUUCCUUUCAUGUGCCUGGGAUUAGCAUAAAGAAUCAGACAGACUGCAAACUUGACAAAUGUGUCAUGCCUUGAUUUUGAACUGCUGUGAAAAUCUGGGUUUGGAGUAUGUUGUUAAAGCCACUGUGCUCUGUCCCGAGUUGCCCACCUGCCUAUCCACCACUAGGCAACCAGCAUCUGGAGUAGACAGUACACAGCAUGCCUAACUGUAGGUGGGGGAGGUUCUCUUUGAUAUAACUCAGCUGUGACACUGUGGAGACAAAGUAUAUCACACACAUACAUGGAUAAGACAAUACUUUCAUAUUCCAUUUUUUACCUUUCAAUAGUACUGAAAAAAAAUGUUAAGAAAUUCUACAACAUCUUUUCCUUUUUGGGUCUCCUUCUUUCCUUCCACCCUGGCUCAUUUUCGCAGCUUAGAAAUUUCACAAAUAGCUCACACACUUGCAGGGGUUGGGGGAGUAGGGAAGGUCCUGCCAAAACCAUUUCGCAGCUGGAGAGCGAGGGUGAGAUGACAUUUGUUUACAUCCUUCUCUUGAGAAGCAAAAACAUUUUCCAGGCUUUGAAACAGUUGGAAGAGGGACCCUAUCAGGCUUUCUAUAAUUCAGUGUUGCUGGUUUCAGGAUUUUUUGUUUGUUUGUUUGUUUUCCUAUUCAUGCACAGUAUAUUCAGGAACACUUGCUGGUUCAUGUUGGGGAGAGGGUCAACCACUGCAGAUAAAAAUGGACUACUGUCUGUGCAGACUCCACAAUUAUUUCUAGUCCUCCUCAUUAUGCAUGUACUUUGAUAACCUGGGCUUGGGGAAACACAGGAGCUCUGCUUGCCGAAGUUGGUCUCUCUCUUGAUCACCUUG